UGUCACCCAGUCUCUCCCCAUCCUCUGUUCUGUCUCCGUCUCUUGCUCUCCCUCUCUGUAGAAUAAAGUCACUCCUUCACUCAGUAAGGCAGUGACAGGUGAGCCAGCCGGGAGAUGCCUGCUCUGGGCCAGAUGCUGCACUGUCUGACUGACUGCUGUCCACAUGAGUACGAGACGUACGGCUGCUACUGAGGCCAGGAGGGCAAAGGGCAACCACUGAACCAGCUCGACAGGUGUUGUUUCUUCCACCGGUGCUGUGUGGAACAGAUCAGGACCAUGAUGUUGGGUGCUAACUUGAAAUAUACCUCUUCCUGUUGCUAUAUUAGAACUUACUGAUUGUGUCACAUGUAUAAUACUUGUAUAUGUUAGGGGUCAGUGAAGGGUGAAUAGUGUUAGGAUCUAAAUGAACCAAGUAGAAAGUCACGGACGACUAGUAAAGCUCAAACCAAGUUUAUUCAUCCAAAGGGUCAGACAGCUGAACAGACAAAAACAUGUUUCCACCAGCAACAGUAUUUAUACCCCAAUUUGGGGGAAGUCUCCUCCUUUCCUCUAAACAUGACAUCUCUGUUGCUAGGCAGGAAGUUAAUAAACCGGGUAAUAAACUGUUCCUUCUCCCUUAAUGUGACCUGUCCUGGGCCCCAUUACUCACUAAUCCACAGCUCUCCACCCUUACCAGUGACUGCAAACAUGUGAUUGCUUACCUUCACUCAGCACAUUCCACGCUUAAUUGCCUCGACCAUAUACAUUCCUCCUACAGAUACGCAUUAACUUCGGAUGUAGAAACCUGACUAUGGCACUCAUUUCCAUAGGAUACCUGAGGAUUAAACACUAUUUCAAGUUUAGGAGUCAGAUCCCAUCCAUAGGAACUUUGUAUUUGGAAGUACAAAACAGUUUGUCUGUUCAAACAUGUUCAUUUUGAAUAGGAAUAUUUCCAAGGAAGGAGGUAAAGAGCAACAGUCUCGUCUCAGUUCCUGAUAAGACAGGCGAGCGGCUGUGAAACUAGGACCCGGAGGGACGUGGAACUCAACUCGAGAUAAAGCCAACAGUUGAAGAGAGAAGAAACCUCUGGUAAGGGGACCAGAGGGGUCCGCCCUGACGACCGUUUAACAACAGUCACUUCCACACGCAUGAAGGUUCUAGACUUAAGCCGGGCCAUGACAAUAGCAGUAAGAGAAACAGACUCAGUUCGUGCCUAGCAACAGAGACAGAUUGUUUAUCUUAGACAUACAAGGAGGGGACUACGCCUAGUCGGAAGGUAUACGUACAUGCUUGUGUGACUUGAAUGUUGCGUUUGCAGCCGAAGCAUCCAGUAGGUUGAAUAAAAUCGUCCCGAGCCUUUUCUAGUCGUCCGUUUGAGUUCAUACUAGUUUUGUUCAGAACCUAACAAUGGGUUGCAGGCAAGAGAGAAAGCUUAAUGCCCACAUCACAUGAAAUGUAGAUAUUAAUGUAGGCAUGGUUUGAAUAACAGGGGGGCUAAGGCAGCCCCAUAACAAAUCAGGACCCUCCCAUUAGAAUACAAAAAACAAUGUAUUGGUAUUGGUAGACUGGUAUUCAAGAAAGUGACAUGUUUUAUUUCUGUUUAUUCUUUAAUUACUCAUGAGGUCAUGUUGAGGUUAGUGAAUCAAAAUGAGGCCUUAGUGUAUAAAAAGAGCUUUUUUACCUACCUGUAUAAUACAAAUAAAUAUUCUGCAUGUUUGUGCAAAGGGCAAAUUCCUGACCUGAGAAACAUGUACAACAUACAUAGAUAGACCUUUACCUUGAACCUUUUGUCACCUAUUGACAUUAAUGCAAGAUGAAUCCGUUUGUCUAAAGAGAGCAAGCCUGAGCCCAUAUAUGGUAUAUGCAGGUCCCAAUUAACCGGUACCAUAAUACACACACACACACACACACUUCAGGUGCAAUUGCCUACAUAUGGACUGUGGUCAAAAGUAGUGCACUAAAUGGGGAAUAGGGUGGCAUAAUUAGGAUGUGAUUUCCCCCCCCAUGUUUCUAACUUUAGAUAAAGCUUUACGAUUUUAAUUGUGAGCGAGAGUCAACCCUAUUCCUUGCAUAAGGCAUAGAAUUGAAACAAAUCUUUGGUAACACACACACACACACACAUAUAAAUCCUUAUAAGUGCAUUUAUAAUGCCUUAUGACACUUUAUAAUACAUCUCAAAACUCAAGUAGUCCAAGUUGUGUUGUAAUCGUACUCUGGUAUUAAAGAGUUUCUCUGGUAAUUUGGUAUACUUUCUACCCAGUAGUUCUGAAAGUAGUGCUCACGAGCGUGUACUACAUCACAUAUGUGCAGAUAUGGGCACCAUGUCAUUGCUCUCGCACCCUGCUGUGUGUGCAUCUUGCUAGCUGUCACUCAAAUGGCGAGGGGCUGAAGCUCAUUGGAUAACUUGAAUUGCUAGGGUCUGGUCCACGUGGGGGAAAAUGUAGGGAAAAUGGCACAGCACAUCUUUUAGAAAAAAAGUAUAUUAAACUAGGGAGGUAAAGCUGUAAUUCUGUUCAUAGAUUAUGCAUGUAUGAACAGCACAUUGACACAUACAGACCAAAGCAGGAAGUUUAAAGAAUACUUCGUAGUAGCCAAAGUUCUGGAGCAUGUCUUUAAAGUGUUGGAAGAACAGAAACAAAACACACCAUUUUCAUAGCUUUUAUAUAAACAUUUUAUUUUGAUCUUGUAUAUUUAUCUUCUAAUAAUCUCUAUGCACAAUGAUUCACUAUUGAAAAGAAGCUCUGUCGUCAUAGUGGUUAAAUUUAACAAUGUGUAGUUUGAAAUGAGCCAAGCUUUAUUAUUUGCAGUUCAGUGGUUUUUAAUUACAUUGCAAAGGUCAUGAAUUUAAAUUAACAUGCUUUAAUUGUGAUAGCGUACCAGCCUCCAUGCAAGUCUUUCUAAUUUUAUCAAAGUAUUUUUAACUUUGAUUUUUUUUUUUUUAAAAUCAUCACUGUAUGUCUAAUAAAUCACUGUGUGUGUUAAUUUCUUGAAAAUAAACACACAAUCAUUUA